CUUAGUUGCCUUGGAGUCCAAUGGCUGGUUCGUAGUCAUAUUAUUUCUUUUGCACUGACAAGCAUCAUAGAUUGGAAGUGCUGCAGCAGGAAUGAGGCAAAGGAUUUCUUGCUUGUCUCUUCCAAUAGUUCUUUUCCUUUCUCCCUUCUUUCUAAUUUCUUUGUUUCUCACCUUGCUAAUUGAUACUCUCUGUUCUCUCUUCUUUUCUCUCCUAUGUCAUGUUCUCAAGUUAAACUAUUUUGCUAAAAAUAUGGGUAGAUGGAUUUGCCAACUCAGGAAAUAUUUGUCUCUGUUCAUUGUAUUCUUUAUCUUUAUUUUGCUUCAUAUACUAGAGUUAACCUUCUUUUAAGACUAUUGUUUACUGAGUUUCUUCUGAUGCAGUUAUGCCUCUAUACCGGUUUCUUAUCAUAUCAGCUGUAGAUUUUCUUUUGGUUUCAUCGUGAGCUUCUUAUCCUGUUUUUCUAAAUACCCUUCUUUCCUGUCACUAUCAAGUGCAUUGAGCAAGGCAUUUCAUCAGUGUCCAAUGAAAUUGGUAGACAGCCAGCUGAAAAUUAGAUCAGAUGCAAAUGUUUGCUUCAGCAGUGGCAGAACUUGCAUUUUUCCGUAAUUCAAUUGUCCAAUCUGAUGGACCAAAUUUUGGGCUUUCGAAAAUUGCCCAGCAGAUCAUUCGUGUUAUCAAUGAAAUAUAUUAGUGAUAGUGCUAACUCCUGGGGAUAGAUGGAGGGGUCAGUAAGUGAUAUGUUGUUCUUUCAUGGCUGAUGUAUACUUUAUAUUCACCAUACAUUUGUAACUUUAUAAAAGCUGAUUACAACAAUAACAUGUCAGCGAUUUUGAAA